AGCGAGAUGGAGCAGUUGGUAGCUCGCCGGGUUCAUAUCCCGGAGUCCGCAGGUUCGAGUCCUGUUCUCGCCCACCA
rnacentral:tRNA from 1 species